GCAGGGAGGGCAAAGUGGUGACAGCUGAACUGGGAGGAGACUCCAGUGGAACCCAGGUGCUCUCGGUUUGGAAGCCAUGCAGCAGACCUGCUCUGAUGCUUUAGCACACAAGACAGAGAAAGCAAAUUAAUCUUUGCAGGUGAAAGGACACUUGGCACGAGCAAAUCAACUCCUGAGCCACGUUUGCUUUGCCAGGAACACUCCCAAAGAGACCCAGACAGAACUGCACCAGUGAAUUCAGCCUACAUCACCUUCUCCACGCUUCAUCUUGUGCUGAUGGCCCAGCAAGUGACAGCACUCUGCCAGCGGCGGCAGCGAGCCGAGGCAGGAGAGUGUGGGGGCGUUUGGAGCACCCUGCCUCAAACAGAGCCCCAGCAAACAGCCUGACUUGUUACCUUGGUGCUGGGCUGGAGCUCCCCUCGGCUGGCCGAACGAGCACCUCAGUCACGUAGCACUUCAUGGUACCUAGAAGAGACCAAAGCAUCUUGUGAGGUGCGAGAGAGCAGCAGCUGCUUAGGAGCUGACUGUCGCUGUGCUGAUUAAACGUCAGCUCAGCACUCAACCAGGAGGUGCAGCAGAAGGCCAAAUUCUGUUCUGGUGUGUGGGAGAAGGAAUCGAUAACAGAAAGCACACACUGCCAGGAGAGACCCACUCCCAGCUAGUUACAUGAUCAGCAAUUUGUCAUUCCUAUUGAGCCUUGUUUAAGGCUGGGAACCAUCACCUUGAAACAAAGCAAGCAAGAGCUGAAGCCACAGCUGGAAGAACUUCCCUAAAGCCCUGGGAUCAGCACAGCUCACAGAAGUAUUUCCUGCUGCUCAGUAAGGCUGCACUGAAUCACAAGAGACAGUUUUAAUAACAGCAGGCACAGGGGAAUCAUUUCCUCCUUUGCUCAGAGAGCAGAACAGCAUUUCUUUCCAAAAAUCACACUAGCUGGAGACUAAUGCUGCACAGAUUUGAGCCUCAGUGUGAAUGCUGCCCAAAAGCUCCACUGAAGACAGCCUUUAAUACCAAAUGGAAGUGCUUGUGCACAGAAUUUAGUCCCCAUCAGUAAAGUCAUAUCAUGGAA